rnacentral:rRNA from 1 species
CGCGUAGGCAGUUUGAUAAGUCGGAUGUGAAAUCCCCGGGCUCAACCUGGGAAUUGCAUUCGAUACUGUCUGACUAGAGUAUGGUAGAGGGAAGUGGAAUUUCAGGUGUAGCGGUGAAAUGCGUAGAUAUCUGAAGGAACAUCAGUGGCGAAGGCGACUUCCUGGACCAAUACUGACGCUGAGGUGCGAAAGCGGUGGGGAGCAAACA